GCUACGGUGCUCGGUGAUCGCGAGCUCGUCGAAUCGUGUUUUUUUUUCUCGUUGUUGUUGACUACCGCCCGUCACUUUCGCGCCGAAACACGAUCGCGAACACUCGCGCGAUCGGUGUUACACGAGUGAUUCGACCGAUUCCCGUGUCUCGCCGGUGAUAUUUCCGCGACACGGUUCGCACGCGAACGAUUUCCCGUUCCACCUUGCGCGCCCGCGACUCGCAGAGCAGAUACGCCAAGGAUCUCGUGCGCGAGUGACAAACCUGAACGCAAGUUUCCUCUUGUGUAACAACCUGCUCAACGUUACGAUUGAUAUUUCGUACGGAGUGUGACGUAAGGUCGAUUUGGAGUUCGCAAACUUUUGGAGGCGUCUACCUGACCUUUCGAAGAGGAGAGAGACAGAGAUAGAGAGAAAGAAACCGAGCGACAGGAGUCUUUGUGCAUGCAAGAAAGAUCUCACAACUCGGCGGGGAUCAGCGUGACCACGUGUGUGGAAGCCGGCGGAACAGUGUCCGGCGACGCGCGCGCGCGAGAGCAUCGCCGAGAAAUUAAAGGAUCCGUCGAACACGGACACUUUCACGAUCGAAGGCCUCGUAUACGGACGGAGGUAAACUAGAACGAGGGAAGAAGGAGCGCAUUAAGGCAACAGAUUGCCCGCGACCUGCA